rnacentral:rRNA from 1 species
GACGUAGGGCGCGAGCGUUUGUCCGGAUUUAUUGGGCGUAAAGAGCUCGUAGGCGGCUUGUUGCGUCAGCUGUGAAAACCCGCAGCUCAACUGUGGGCUUGCAGCUGAUACGGGCAGGCUUGAGUUCGGUAGGGAGACUGGAAUUUACGGUGUAGCGGUGAAAUGCGUAGAUAUCGUAAGGAAGACCGGUGGCGAAGGCGGGUCUCUGGGCCGUAACUGACGCUGAGGAGCGAAAGCGUGGGGAGCGAACAGG